rnacentral:tRNA from 1 species
CAGGGAGACAACAAAAUGUUUAAUUUUAUUAUUUUGUCACCUUAGGUCGAUCGGUAUCUCACGUUCUUAAUCAUUUAAGAAUUUCAUUUCCUAAGUUUUUCUAGGUCACACCCAUUAUUUUUCCUGGGCCAUUAGCUCAGGUGGUUAGAGCGCACCCCUGAUAAGGGUGAGGUCCCUGGUUCAAGUCCAGGAUGGCCCAUAUCUCUAUGUUGGGGGUAUAGCUCAGUUGGUAGAGCGCCUGCUUUGCAAGCAGGAUGUCAGCGGUUCGAGUCCGCUUACCUCCACUGAUUACCACCUCUGUCAUAAUUUGCAAAAGGAAAUAUUUUGAGUUGUGAUCAAUCUGAACGAUUCUAGCUUCCUAAUGAAUUCAUUAAGAUGCUGGACUCAUUGAAUUAAUUUCAUUGUUUUCAGAGAACCUUGACAACUGCAUAGAUUAUUUUUAAAGACAAUAAGCAUCUUUAAUGAUGCAGAUUUAUUAUUUGUGCGAAUGCAUUAAUAACAAUUCUAUUAAGCUGAUGCUUCAAUUUUUGAAGUUAUU